GCGAGGGUGGCGGAAUUGGUAGACGCGCUGGAUUUAGGAUCCAGUGGGCAACCGUGGGGGUUCGAUUCCCCCUCCUCGCA
rnacentral:tRNA from 1 species